AUUGAACGCUGGCGGCAGGCCUAACACAUGCAAGUCGAACGAGUGGCGGACGGGUGAGUAAUGUCUGGGAAACUGCCUGAUGGAGGGGGAUAACUACUGGAAACGGUAGCUAAUACCGCAUACCAUCAGAUGUGCCCAGAUGGGAUUAGCUAGUUGGUGGGGUAACGGCUCACCAAGGCGACGAUCCCUAGCUGGUCUGAGAGGAUGACGAGCCAAACUGGAACUGAGACACGGUCCAGACUCCUCGGGGGGGCAGCAGUGGGGAAUAUUGGACAAUGGGCGAAACCCUGAUGCAGCCAGGCCGCGUGUUGGAAGAAGGCCUUCGGGUUGUAAAGUACUUUCAGCGGGGAGGCGUUACCCAAAGAAGAAGCACCGGCUAACUCCGUGCCAGCAGCCGCGGUAAUUC
rnacentral:rRNA from 1 species